rnacentral:misc_RNA from 1 species
UACGGAGGGUGCAAGCGUUAUCCGGAAUCAUUGGGUUUAAAGGGUCCGCAGGCGGAUAAUUAAGUCAGAGGUGAAAUCCCACAGCUUAACUGUGGAACUGCCUUUGAUACUGGUUGUCUUGAAUUAUAGUGAAGUAGAUAGAAUGUGUAGUGUAGCGGUGAAAUGCGUAGAUAUUACACAGAAUACCGAUUGCGAAGGCAGUUUACUAACUAUAUAUUGACGCUAAUGGACGAAAGCGUGGGGAGCGAACAGG